rnacentral:rRNA from 1 species
UCACAUCACGUUGAAACACCAGUUUCUAUACGAUCAGUGAAGUUAAGCAAGGUUGAACCUGGUCAGUACCUAGAUGGGUGACCGCUUGGGAAUG